UAGAUAGAUAGAUAGAUAGAUAGAUAGAUAGAUAGAUAGAUAGAUAGAUAGAUAGAUAGAUAGAUAGAUAGAUUGAUACUUCUCGCACGAUCCUUUGACAGAAUGACGUAUCAAAACAACAUUUUCCACAAUGGGGAGUGGUUGGGGAGCAAUCAAGUUUCCCCGGAAUUUAUCACCUCCCGCUCAUCAGACGUUAACGGCUUUGCAGCCACUUGCAAGAAAAAGAAAAAGAACUCAAGGUUACAACCCGUUUUGAAAGUCAGGGUGUCGUUUCUCACCUUGCGGAUGAGGAAGAGGACAUCGUGGUGGAUACUCAAGCAGUCACGUGCUCUUUAGCUGUCUUCGUUCUCAUGGUGUCAAAAGGCACGGCUCAAGUGCACUCCGCAUCCCAGCUGACAGUGUCCACAGUCGGAUUUCAGAACCUUCCAUGGCAGCCUCUUCUCUGUACCGGCUUCAUCCAGAACGCUUCAAAAUUCUUAAACCACUCUCGCCACUUUCGGGUGUCAAAAUCACAUCGAAACCGUCUUGUUUAGAGGGGGAAAAAGACGAUAUUAUUCUAGAAUUAAAUAACAAACGAAGCUCGCACGCUCAAGUGACUUUCAUUUGGGACUUUCGCUUCCAAGCUCCUGUGUCUCUCUACUCAAAGUGGACUGAGUACUACUGCGCUGUACUACUUCGUGCCUUUUCUUCAUUCAUAAAUCCAAACAAGUCCAACGGGUGCUACAAUU